UACGUAGGGUGCAAGCGUUGUCCGGAAUUAUUGGGCGUAAAGAGCUCGUAGGCGGUUUGUCGCGUCUGCUGUGAAAACUCGGGGCUUAACCCCGGGCCUGCAGUGGGUACGGGCAGACUAGAGUGCGGUAGGGGAGACUGGAAUUCCUGGUGUAGCGGUGAAAUGCGCAGAUAUCGGGAGGAACACCAAUUGCGAAGGCAGCUCGCUGGGACGUCACUGACGCUGAGACGCGAAAGCGUGGGGAGCAAACAGG
rnacentral:rRNA from 1 species